CGGCUGCAUGAGGACCAAACUGUCUUCUUUUGACCAAUCAAUGAACCUGAUCUCCCAGUACAAAAGCUGGGAUAAGACCAUAAGACGAGAAGACCCUGUGGAGCUUAAAAUACCACUACUAAUCAACCCUUCCCCACCCAGGCCCACACAACCAAAAUAGUACACAUUUUUAGUUGGGGCGACUACGGAACCAAACAAAACUUCCACGCCAGGAGACCCCCCCCCUCCCCCGAGGUCAACAAACCAACACCAACCUUGACCCAGUAACACUGACCAACGAACCAAGUUACCCCAGGGAUAACAGCGCCAUCCUCUUCAAGAGCCCCUAUCGCCAAGAGGGUUUACGACCUCGAUGUUGGAUCAGGACCCCCAGGUGGUGCAACCGCUAC
rnacentral:rRNA from 1 species